GGACCCGCACAAGCGGUGGAGCAUGUGGUUUAAUUCGAUGCAACGCGAAAAACCUUACCUACUCUUGACAUACUUGGAAGCUCUUGUAAUGAGAGUGUGCCUUUUGGAGCCAAGAUACAGGUGCUGCAUGGCUGUCGUCAGCUCGUGUCGUGAGAUGUUCCGUUAAGUCGGAUAACGAGCGCAACCCUUACCCUUAUUUGCCAGCGAUUCGGUCGGGAACUAUAAGGGGACUGCCGGUGAUAAACCGGAGGAAGGUGAGGACGACGUCAAGUCAUCAUGGCCCUUACGAGUAGGGCUACACACGUGCUACAAUGGGGAAUACAGACGGACGCUAAGCCGCGAGGUGGUGCUAAUCCCAGAAAGUUCGUCUCAGUCCGGAUUGGAGUCUGCAACUCGACUCCAUGAAGUUGGAAUCGCUAGUAAUCGCGGAUC
rnacentral:rRNA from 1 species